rnacentral:rRNA from 1 species
CAGGAUGUCGGAUUAUUGGGCGUAAGCGCGCGCAGGCGGUCAUUUAAGUCUGGUGUUUAAUCCCGGGGCUCAACCCCGGAUCGCACUGGAAACUGGGUGACUUGAGUGCAGAAGAGGAGAGUGGAAUUCCACGUGUAGCGGUGAAAUGCGUAGAUAUGUGGAGGAACACCAGUGGCGAAGGCGACUCUCUGGGCUGUAACUGACGCUGAGGCGCGAAAGCGUGGGGAGCAAACAGGAUUAGAUACCCUGGUAGUCCACGCCGUAAACGAUGAGUGCUAGGUGUUAGGGGUUUCGAUACCCUUGGUGCCGAAGUUAACACAUUAAGCACUCCGCCUGGGGAGUACGGUCGCAAGACUGAAACUCAAAUGAAAUUGACGGA